AAGAAGCUCGUGCCAACUCUACUCGUCCACUACAGCAGCAGAAGCAGCGCUGUCUGCGGAAUGGCAGCGUUCGCAGGUGGACUCUCCGGCUAGACCGCGCGCAGCCUCUGGUCAUGCGUCGCGAGGCGUCAUCGGCGUCCCAUCAUGAUCGACCCCAAGGUGUUCGUCGCACUGCUCGUGCUCUCCACGGCGUUCAUCGUUGCCGCCAUCGUGGGCGCAGUUUGCUGUCUGUGUCGUGUCCUCAAGAAGGACUCUCGCAGGAGGCUCAAGGACGACUAUGUCAUUGUACUUGACGGAACGGAACCGCCGCCUCCGUAUACUUGGAGGAGUGUCCGCUCGGAUGGACGUCGUCAAUAAAUAGUCUUCUCUUCGCCAUGGGGACUCCC
rnacentral:lncRNA from 1 species